rnacentral:tRNA from 1 species
AGGAGUGUAGCUUAAUUGGUAAAGUGCUGGUCUCCAAAACCAGAGAUUGCAGGUUCAAGUCCUGUCAUUCCUG